rnacentral:rRNA from 1 species
ACGUAAGUGGCGAGCGUUAUCCGGAAUCACUGGGCGUAAAGCGUUCGUAGGCGGCGCAGCUAGUUGGAUUUGAAAUCCCAGGGCUUAACUCUGGACCCGGAUCCAAAACUGCUGUGCUUGAGCGUAUCAGAGGGCAGUGGAAUUCCCGGUGUAGCGGUAAUAUGCGUAGAUAUCGGGAGGAACACCAGUGGCGAAGGCGGCUGCCUGGGGUAUUGCUGACGCUGAGGAACGAAAGCUAGGGGAGCGAACGG